AUUGAACGCUGGCGGCAGGCCUAACACAUGCAAGUCGAACGGUAACAGGAAGCAGCUCGCUGCUUCGCUGACGAGUGGCGGACGGGUGAGCAAUGUCUGGGAAGCUCCCUGAUGGAGGGGGAUAACUACGGAAAACGGUAGCUAAUACCGCAUAAUGUCGCAAGACCAAAGAGGGGGACUUUCGGUGCUUUUGCCAUCGAUUGUGCCCAGAUGGGAUUAGCUUGUUGGGGGGGUAACGGCUAACCAAGGCGACGCUCCCUAGCCGUUCUGAGAGGAUGAUCGGCCACACUGGGACUGAGACACGGUCCAGACUCCUACGGGAGGCAGCAGUAGGGAAUAUUGCGCAAUGGGCGCAAGCGUGAUGCAGCCAUGCCGCGUGUAUGAAGAAGGCCUUCGGGUUGUAAAGUACUUUCAGCGGGGAGGAAGAGAGUAAAGUUAAUACCUUUGCUCAUUGACGUUACCCGCAGAAGAAGCACCGGCUAACUACGUG
rnacentral:rRNA from 1 species